GGGUGAACCAAAGGCAAAAGAAAGACCUUUCUGUCUCUCUCUCUCUCACUGUCCACUCUGCCUGUCAAAAAUAGGAAAAUAAAACAAAAAAAAAAAAAAACAAAAAAAGAUAAAUUUCUUUGGUCGUAGGAGACCAGGAGGAAGCACUCUGCUCCUGGCUUCGCAUCAGCACAGCGCUGGCCGUGGUUGAUAUUUGGGGAGUGAAUCAAUGGAAGGAAGACCUCUCUCUUUAUCUCUCUCUGUCAAUGUCUAUAACUCUCUCUCUGUAUCUCUCUUUCACAGUCUACUCUGCCUGUGCAAAAAAAACAAAGAAAAUAGAUAUGUUUCUUCGGUGGAAAAAAAAUUUUUUUCAAAUCGUUAGUUUUUUUUUUUUGUUUUUUUUUUUUUUAAAUUUCAGGUUAGAGCCUCUUUCACAAACCAGACAUUUAUGGAUGAACAGGUGGAGAGGUCAUACUCUGGCAAGUUCUGAAUGCUCAGUGUUACUUGCAGGUUGGAUCAAUCAACUCUCUCCAUAAUCAGUGAUCUUCAUUUCCUGCGUCACAGCAUACUCCACUACCUUGGUGCCAUUUUCAUUGUGAGAAACGAAAUCAAAUUCCCCAGGUUCUUCCAAGUCAGAGAAGCAGAUGCCCUUGGCCAGCACCAUCCACAAUGGGCCCCAACACUCUUUCAAUGGAACAGGGGAAGGAGCUGUUAAAGCAAUGCGGGAUCCCUCAAAGAUAUGAAAUCUAAUAUUCAAUUAAAGAGCAAGCCCAAUCAGAAGCCCAAGGCUAUGAAUCAGACAGCAUGUCAUUCUGUAUGUCAUCAGCCUCUAAGGCCCCCUAAUGACAAUAACCUACAAGGAAGACUGCUGUGCCAGAGGACUUCCCCACCAGAUGGACAGUACAGCAAGGUGAAAUGCAAGAACUAUGGAGCCUUUGGGCACUUGGAAAAAAGCAAGAGGUGCCCCAUGAAGUCAUGGGGUGGGGCCCUUCCCUUACUGGCCUUGGGUCGCAAUCAGGAGAAGGAGAACCUGAAACCUAAGAAUCCUCACCAACUUCAGUCUGCAGAACCCUUGAGGAAGACUGACAGACAAGAGGAAGGAACUCAAAGGUAA
rnacentral:lncRNA from 1 species